UACGGGGGGGGCAAGCGUUGUUCGGAAUUACUGGGCGUAAAGGGCUCGUAGGCGGCCCUCUCAGUCGGAUGUGAAAUCCCCAGGCUUAACCUGGGAACGGCAUCCGAUACUGGAGGGCUUGAAUUCGGGAGAGGGAUGCAGAAUUCCAGGUGUAGCGGUGAAAUGCGUAGAUAUCUGGAGGAAUACCGGUGGCGAAGGCGGCAUCCUGGACCGAGAUUGACGCUGAGGAGCGAAAAGCUAGGGGAGCAAACGGGG
rnacentral:rRNA from 1 species